rnacentral:lncRNA from 1 species
AGCAGGGCCCUGACAAUGAAAAGGAAAAACAUCCACAACCCCUCCUCCAAAGCUCCUGUAUGAUCAAAAGGGUGUGGAGAAUGCUGAAUGAACUAUUACCAUUACUGCCUUAUGUGCAGAGGAUGCUUCAUGCUGCCAACACAUGUCCUUACCUGGCUGUGCUGGGCAGACCCUGUGAGCAGCACCAGCUCAUAAGUGACCUGGAGCGUGGACUUGGAGUGAGUUUGAUUUGA